AACAGGGAUUGCCUCAGUAACGGCGAGUGAAGCGGCAACAGCUCAAAUUUGAAAUCUGGCUCUUUCAGGGUCCGAGUUGUAAUUUGUAGAGGAUGCUUCGGCGUGGGCCCCGGUCUAAGUUCCUUGGAACAGGACGUCACAGAGGGUGAGAAUCCCGUACGUGGCCGGCGGUGCUCGCCAUGUGAAGCUCCUUCGACGAGUCGAGUUGUUUGGGAAUGCAGCUCUAAAUGGGAGGUAAAUUUCUUCUAAAGCUAAAUACCGGCCAGAGACCGAUAGCGCACAAGUAGAGUGAUCGAAAGAUGAAAAGCACUUUGGAAAGAGAGUCAAAAAGUACGUGAAAUUGUUGAAAGGGAAGCGCUUGCAACCAGACCUGACCGUAGUUGCUCAUCCGGGCUCUUGCCCGGUGCACUCUUCUGCGAGCAGGCCAGCAUCAGUUCUGGCGGUCGGAUAAAGGCGGCGGGAAUGUGGCUCCUCUCGGGGAGUGUUAUAGCCCGCCGUGUCAUGCGGCCAGCCGGGACUGAGGUCCGCGCUUCGGCUAGGAUGCUGGCGUAAUGGUUGUAAGCGGCCCGUCUUGAAACACGGACCAAGGAGUCUAACAUCUGUGCGAGUGUUUGGGUGUCAAGCCCAGGCGCGUAAUGAAAGUGAACGGAGGCGGGAACCUUUGGGUGCACCGUCGACCGAUCCUGAUGUCUUCGGAUGGAUUUGAGUAAGAGCAUAUCUGUUGGGACCCGAAAGAUGGUGAACUAUGCCUGAAUAUGGUGAAGCCAGAGGAACUCUGGUGGAGGCUCGCAGCGGUUCUGACAUGCAAAUCGAUCGUCAAAUUUGGGCAUAGGGGCGAAAGACUAAUCGAACUAUCUAGUAGCUGGUUCCCGCAGAAUUUCCCC
rnacentral:rRNA from 1 species